rnacentral:tRNA from 1 species
UCCUCGGUAGUAUAGUGGUUAGUAUCCCCGCCUGUCACGCGGGAGACCCGGGUUAGAUUCCCGGCCGGGGAG